ensembl:lncRNA
CUCAGAGUCAGUGGUGGUAGCUUCCUGCCGCCAAAUCUCCCUCCGUCUCGUCUUCUCUGGGGCUUCAAUCUUUCCACUGACAUUCAGGAGAACGUUAACUACAACUUUUUCGGGUUUAACCUGAAUCUGCAUCAAAGGAAGGAGGCCCUGAAGAUUCCUGAGGACUUGCAGGAUGAUGGCACUUCCAGUCGCUUGCCUUCAGGAGAGCAUUGGAAGGUCUUCAUAAAGACCAACAGGCCUUUCCUCUGCUCUCCUUCUGGACUCCAUCGCUUCAGGACAAAGCUGGGACCACUUCUCAGGACUGACUUUUGGACUCUCUGACUCUGCCUCCUGUCCAGUGUUUCCUAAAUUCUCCCGUUACAGUAAAUGGAAUUGAGAGAAGUCAUCAUUCCAAAGAUUCGGCUUUAUACAUAUGCAUCUUAGAUCUCCAUUUCCAGAGUGCCCUCAAUACUUAUUUGCUGAAUUAAUGUAAGUAGAUGCUCUUAGUUUAGACACAACCCCAUUCGCAAUUCUAAUCUCCCGUUAGUAUAUUCAAAGAAGGGAAAACUCACUAAAUGCGAUAUUAAUAAAAACAGAUAAAUAUACAUAUCCAUAGUACUUAUUUUAAGGAAAAAGCAAC